rnacentral:lncRNA from 1 species
CUUACUUUUCCAGAGAUUUUCAUUCUCAAGGGUAAGUUGUUGGCUUGGCUUUAAAACGCUGUCAAAGUCUGGCUUCAUUGUGAUUGAAUUACAUGGAGAGAUUGAUUUGUUCUUAGAACCCUGUUGAUGUUGGACUCUUAACUGACUUCACUUUCGUCAUUGUAGCCUAACAUCUUUCAUAGUUGUGUUCACUGUUCCAUGGGAGAAUAUCACAGGUCACAUCUACCAACAAGCAGGCAACUCUCAGAUGCAAUAACUAUGGGAAAAUGUAAAAUAUAUGUUUUAAUUGCACUUACUUGACUUAAAGUCAAGACAUUUGUACUAAUCAUUUGACUGUAACAAACACCAGGUCAAAUGAAUGAAUAUCUAAACAUGUAUGACAUGCAUUGAUUUUUCUUACUUCUACAGACGUUAUCAAUGUCACUGUCAAACAAACCACUUAGAAGAAAUACAAUGGCACAUUCAAUGACUGAAAAGGCAGAUGUCAAAGAGGAUGAAGAGACGAACCCGUUACACCAAACCAUCAGAACCACUUGACGAGGUCGCUAGUUGGGUUAAAGGAAUAGUCCACUCAAACUAUCUUUUGUAAUUAAAACGUUUUUUAAUCCACUGUUGCUGAAUGUUUUGCAUGUCAGCAAUCACGUUUUUCAAUACAUAGGACUUUCAAGAUGAUGAUGUCUUCAUGAUCAUAUGCUGCACUUUGCUUCUUGAAAGU